rnacentral:rRNA from 1 species
CACACCGCCCGUCACACCAUGGGAGUCUGUUGCUCCAGAAGUGGCUUGCCUAACCUGCAAAGGAAGGCGGUCCCAAGGAGUGGCAGGUAACUGGGGUG